rnacentral:rRNA from 1 species
CCUACGGUGGGCUGCAGUGAGGAAUAUUGGUCCAUGGGCGCGAGCCUGAACCAGCCAAGUAGCGUGAAGGAUGACUGCCCUACGGGUUGUCAACCUCUUUUUUAAAGGAAUACAGUGAGGCACGUGUGCCUUUUUGUCUGUACUUUAUGAAUAAGGAUCGGCUAACUCCGUGCCAGCAGCCGCGGUCAUACGGAGGAUCCGAGCGUUAUCCGGAUUUAUUGGGUUUAAAGGGAGAGUAGAUGGGUUGUUAUGUCAGUUGUGAAAGUUUGCGGCUCAACCGUAAAAUUGCAAUUGAUACUGGAAGCCUUGAGUACAGUUGAGGUAGGCGGAAUUCGUGGUGUAGCGGUGAAAUGCUUAGAUAUCACGAAGAACUCCGAUUGCGAAGGCAGCCUAAUAAACUGCCACUGACAUUGAUGCUCGAAAGUGUGGGUAUCAAACAGGAUUAGAUACCCUAGUAGUC